UAGGAUGCAUGGCUGGGGGGGAUGGUGACCACGUCUCUGAUUCAUGUGUAGGACAGAGUGGUGGCCUCCCAAGCAGCCAGCGAGGUGACUGGCCCUGCAGUGGACAGCUCUCGAGCUGGGGUCCCUUGGCGCUCUCCUUUGGUGGCUGGCCAGCUCAGGCCUCUGCAGCUGCAGGGCUGGGUAGGGCAGAGGCCAUCAGCCUGCCCAGGGGAGCACCUGCGCCUGGGCCCCUGGGCUGGCCUGCCGUCGCCCAGCACUUGGGAGCCUGGUCCUCCUGAGCCUCACUGCACCUGGUGGCACUCCUCCAGGUAACUUGGGAGGCAGUGUGGAACCCUAGGCCCAGCGCAGUGUCCAGCAGGACCGGGGUCAGCAGGACUUGUUGACAGAACGGUUUGCAGGGCCCUGGGUUGAGUAAGAGCCACUUCCCUCCUGCCUCUGACCCCUGAGGGUCGGGGUCCUGCACACAGGGCCCAUCCUGUCCCUCGCAAGGCCACUGUCCUGCCAGAGACUGCAGACCACCUUCUGCACAUUGGACAGCAGCAGGAGGGCUGGAGAGAGCCGCUUCCAGGGACAGCAGCUGGGCCAGGGGCAGGCCCAACCCUCCCGAGGGGGAGCAUCUCGUGGGCUUCCUCCUGGCCCUGUCCAUGGGCUGCUGCUCGCCAGCUCUGGGACGUCGACCAGAGGGUCACGAUCCCGGCAAGCGCCGGGUCCCUCCUCGCUGGAACGCAGGCCCCAGCAUCAAGAAAGAGUUCUGGCCAGAGCCUCAUUUUAUCAACAAGGAAAGUGAAGCUCAGAGAAGUUAAAGAAUUGUACAAGGUCACACAGCACAGUGCAUGAGAAUCAGACACAAGCAAGACUCAUGUCCAGCUACCUUACCCACCAGGCCACACGGCUUCCAGGUUGUAAGUGGCCAGCCAGUCUUGUGAGCCCCUCCCUGAUGGACCUCAGAGGCCUGGGCACUUCCAUCCCCCACAGAUGAGAGGAUGAGGCCUGGGACAAAGGGAGGGGCUUCUGCCCUCUUGAUGGAGGACCUUCAACUCACCCUUGCUCCAGGCGGAGCAUGUCUAGGCCUGGGGACCUCUGAGUCUACCCCAGCGGGGACACUGUGAAGCCCCCACCUUCCCAUUGCCACACAGCGCUGGCCUGGCAGCCCCACGGGAGACCAGGAUGCCUGCCAACGGGCACAGCUCGGGUGUGCUUCCCCUUGGCACGGGCCUGCGUGGGGGGACCAUGUGGCUUUGAUUUAAAUUUCACGCUGGAGAAACAAUGGUUUGGAUUAAGGAAGAAACAGUUGGUGAAGUGUCAUGAAAGGAAAGGAGGAGACGGAGGCCCUGGUCACCAAAGUGGGCCCCAAACUUUGAAGCCCACAUUCCAGAGGUUUCUCGGGGCUGCCGUCCUGUCACCUCCUGCCCAGUGGCUCCUGACCUCUUCAGCCGCACACACGAGGCUUCCCGAGGCCGGGGCUGGGCGGGCUGUGGCCGGGGCCUGGCCCCUCCUCUUACAGAAGGGGAAGCUGGGGGUCAGAGAGGACCCACCACCUGCCCGGGAUGAUGAUGGUUCUGAUGGCUUCUGUGAAGGCCUGGGGGGAACGAGGCUGACUCCUCCCGUUCUGUUGGCCCGGGGCUCAGCCUCAGUUUCCCCACCGAGAAGGGAGAAGGACGCUACAGAAUCUGCCGUCUCCCCUGGAGCCCAGGCACCCGGGGAGGGCUGGCGAGCGUUGGAGUACUUCCUGGACUCUGGGCAGGGCGCGUCCCCAACACCGUCCACACCGAGGCCCCAGCUCCCGGACCCCCACUGCACAGACCAGCAGACGGGGCUCUGACAGGCUGCGGGGUUCACUCCCUCCCCUGGAUGGACGCGCAGUUGGCUCUGGGGCUGGGUCCUGUGGCCAAGGGUGUGUGUGUUGGGUGGGGCUGGACAGGCAGAGCUGCAGCGGUGUGGAGACGUGCCCCCCACGUGCUGCGGCAUCACCAGUGCCCAGCGCCGGGCAGGUCCUCCCUGGUCGGGUGAGGAGGGGUUCCCGGGCCUGGCCCAGCCGCGUCUCCUGAGGGCCGCCCAGGGCUCUGUGGUGUCGUCUGGGCCGCCCUGGAACCACGCAGCCGACUUCCCCAGGGGGUGACCGCCCUGGCCUCCUGGUCAGCCCAGGGUGGGCUCUUCCACGCCCCUCCAGCUCCAGGCCUCUGGCUGUGGUUUCUGGCUCUGCCUGGGCAGGGCCGGGCUCGGUGUGCGGCAGGGGCUGUGGGGCAGGAAUCGGGCUCGUCUGUGGCCAGGCACCCGGGGAGGGCGAGGAGCUGAAGGCCAUGGGCCGGCUGUAGAGCACCAGAUGGAUUCAAACCCCGGGACCGGCGUUGCUCGUGGUGGGGGUACAGGAGCCACCGGGGCCGGGACAGAGGCGGAGGCUGGCUGGAGCCUGCGGGGAGAGGUGGCCACGGGCAGUGCCCCCACCGUCCCCCGAGCCUGCCAGGGCUGCGUGGCCGUGGCCAUCUUAUGGGGGUCCAUGGGUGGAGGUGAGGCCAGCGGCCAGCACCUGCCGUGCCUGCCCCCUGUGCGCCCGCCUCCCCCAUAGCCAGGCCAGGGCCCCAGGGCACAGCAGCCACACGGUGUCUUUGCAGAAGUUCGGCCUCCCUUGGUCCACGAGGAACACUGGUCUCCUCUCUGGUCCAUCUCACGAGAAGUAAGAGGAAGAGGAACCCGCAGAUGCAGGCAAGGAGACCCCAACCUGCCGCUGCUUCCUCCAGCGGGUUUCCCCUCUGCCGCUGAAUGCCGAGGUGUUGGCCCACGUGGAGAAGAAACAGGGCGAGGGCUGGACAGAGUGGCCUGGUGCGACGAAGGACCAGGGCAAGGAUCACACACACGUCACCAUUUGCCUAACUCGUGGACAAGGAGACCAGUAAGGUGACUAGAGGAAUGGAGUGACGAACACCAGAGAAUGAACGCGGUGUCCCUUGUCCUCACACGCCGGGCCUGUUGACAACACUCCAAUCUGACGUGGGAAAGUCCUGCUGUCCUUUCUGCCCAUUUCCAAGUUUCAGAACCACCCUGGCUCCUGCUGCCGUCAAGGUGAAGGCCCACAUUUCUAGAUGCCCUCGGACCUGGUACCAAGCGCCUCGGGCAUGUGCUGUCCCUGGUCCCCGCCUCCUGGUCCUGCCACAGCCCAGGGAGCAGCUUCCCCUCCCGCACCCCACGCCCAGCCCCCAGCACGUGCUCUCUCCUGCGAACAGUGAGCGGGCAGCGGCUGUGACAGGCCCGAAGCAGCGGAGACCCGGAUGUGGCCACUGCCUAGCUGUGUGACUCAAGAAUGGAGGAAACCCUGGUGGAAUCCCGCUGUCCUUUUCCAGGACUCAAGACGUCCAUCUGUCCCCUGGAAAUGCUCCCAGUAGGCCACUCUGGAGAUCUGACAGAGCUUUUAUUGCUAAGUGUCAAUGAGCCAGUGCAGAGGAGCCCAGGGCUGGGGUCUAGAUCACUCUUCUCUCUCACUGUGUGGCCUUGGACAAGUACCUUACCCUCUCUGGGCCUCCUUCUUCAAGGGAUCUCUCCACCUCCAACAGACAAGGCUCCUUUGUGUCCCUAACAUAGUACAGGUCUGGGACUGCCUUGGAGAUAUAGUAUGGACCCCAUUGUCCCCUGCUCUGAGGACCUGGGCUCCCGAGCCCCAUGCUGGAGCCCCUUCCUACAAGGCCCUGUGUCUCGGGCUGCCACAGUGGAGGUACCCGAGACCCCUGAUUGGCCCACCUGGGCUCCAGAAGCUCCUAAGUCCACCCCAGGAGGCAGCUCUGCUCUCCCAAGUGUUCUGCGAACUACAAUACCUCGGAAGGAAGCCAACGUUUAGUGAAGACAUUGACCUUGUCAACAAAAAUAAAAACAAAGCCCGUAUUUCACGAAUGUGCA